AGAUAAUUUUGAUGUAUAGGACAAUAGGCUAAAUCAAUUCUGAUGUAAAUCAAAAGGAAGUCUGUCGUAGUUGAGGUUAUAAAUAGUGAGUGUUUUAUUGAGAAAGGGCACACAAAAGACGAGCACCUAACAGAAAGGCGAGUUGUUUUUUUAGGUUUGAAAUCAAAAGAACAAAACUGAAAUGAAAACUUUGGUUUUGACGACCACACUUUUUAUCCUUCUCUCCUGUAUGAUACAACCAAUGCAGGGAAGAGGAUACCCAAGAUGCCAAAUGGAUUACCAAUCCUGUGGUCGUAGACCUUGCUGCGAAAAUUUGAAAUGCACUCCGGUUACAGAAGAAGAUGGGGGAAGGACUUACACCACUAGCAAGUGUAUACCAUAAGAGGAAGCGAAAACAAUGGUGAAAUCCAAAAAGAUUUAAAAGAAGUUAAUUAUGAGCCGAAAUAAAAGAUUGUUAUUUCCCCUUU